rnacentral:rRNA from 1 species
UACGUAGGGGGCAAGCGUUGUCCGGAAUCAUUGGGCGUAAAGCGCGUGUAGGCGGCUCGGUAAGUCCGCUCUGAAAGUCCAGGGCUCAACCCUGGGAUGCGGGUGGAUACUGCCGGGCUCGAGUCCGGAAGAGGCGAGUGGAAUUCCCGGUGUAGCGGUGAAAUGCGCAGAUAUCGGGAGGAACACCAAUGGCGAAGGCAGCUCGCUGGGACGUGACUGACGCUGAGACGCGAAAGCGUGGGGAGCAAACGAG